UACGUAGGGUGCGAGCAUUGUCCGGAAUUAUUGGGCGUAAAGAGCUCGUAGGCGGCCUGUCGCGUCGGAUGUGAAAGCCCGGGGCUUAACCCCGGGUCUGCAUUCGAUACGGGCAGGCUGGAGUUCGGUAGGGGAGAUCGGAAUUCCUGGUGUAGCGGUGAAAUGCGCAGAUAUCGGGAAGAACACCCGUGGCGAAGGCGGUUCUCUGGGACGGUACUGACGCUGAGACGCGAAAGCGUGGGGAGCGAACAGG
rnacentral:rRNA from 1 species